UCCCUCUUAGCUCAGUUGGUAGAGCGCGUCACUAGUAUUCUUUGUACUUCUUAUUAUACAUGACGAGGUCAGUCGUUCAAAUCGGCUAGCGGGAA